GUUUUGCUGUGGUUGCUGUUGUUGGUUGAGCCUGAAGCUAUUAAAUGAUUAACUUUCCUUAUCUUUUCUCCUCUCAGUACUCCUGAAGGACAAAUUGGCAGCAAAAAUGGCACCACAGCUUUUGCCACAAUGGGAGGCAACGUCACCAGCUAUGGCAGUAUAAGAAGAAGGCACCCUUAACUUUAAACAUCAGCAGCUUGGCGUCAGCAUCACCAGCAGGUGGGGUAUAGACUGGGAGAGGUGCCCAUGAGAGCUACGGAGGGGUUCUCUUUGGUGGGCACCAGCUGUGCUCUUCCCUUGGGACAGAUCCACCAUUUUAGGCUCAGAGAGCAACAAGAGACAUCAUUUUCGGACACAUGGCUGCAGGUAACAGAAACCUCGCCUGAGCUAACUUACACAGAGAGUUUAUUGAAAGGAGACUAAGAAAUCUCAUGGACUUCCAGGGCAGGAACACAGCUGGCUGGGCAUGAGAACUGAAGCUGGGUGUGUAGUAUUUGGUGGAUCCAGAAGUCCUCAUUCCUCUUUGCUCAUCUCCGGGAGUCUACUCCCCUCCUGCUCUUGGUCUCUGUGUUGGAGUUCUCCAUUUUCCCAGCCUCCAAGCCAGAAAAUGUUUGCUUGACAGCUCCCAGGUUUGCAUGCUCCACCUAGACCCACAGACAGGCUGCUCCCUCUUUCUCACUCCUUGGCUCUAUUCCAGUUCUGAAAGUUCUUCAGAUGAUACUGUGUGGAUUGCUUUGGGCUUGCGGCUGGCCCUAUCAAUUGCUGGGGAACAGAAUGUUCUUUGGGGAAUACUGAAGCCCACUGCAGUCAUGUAGAGAAAAACAGGAAGGUCCUCCUACACAAGGUGCGCUGGUUGGAAAAUCAGUAAUUACUCCCCAACAGCACCCUGCCAAGAAGCUGAUACUGGAAAGAAAACUGGUGACCUGUGCUCAGUAACCUAGAGAUUGAAUUUAAUGUGACAUCUGCUAGCAACGCCCAAAACUACAUGAAAGGAGUUUGAAGAAUUCUAAAGCUGCUAUGAGACUUACACUAUAAGAGCCUGCGAAAUAUGAAUGUGGACUGAUCCACCUACUUAAUUCUUAUGCACUCAUCAGUGUGCCCAGGAAAUACGUGCCACAGCAAGAAGCAUCUGUCAGAUUCCACCCACUAUCCUUAACACUGAUUAGAAGCAACUCCUUUCACCCCUCACCUUGAGAGCCUGUGGUAGAGUAGGGUACAGCAACUGACUACCACAGUCAGCACACAAUCAGCACACUUUCCUCUAACAUCGGGCUCUUCAAGACCAUCUGGUCACACUCAGGGAACACUUGAGAGGCAGCAUAUCUGGUGCCCCAUAUAUUCAUCAAUAUUUUUUUUUUAAUUUUUUAUUGUUGGUUGUUCAAAACAUUACAAAUUUCUUGACAUAUCAUAUUCCACACUUUGAUUCAAGUUCAUCAAUAUUUUUUGAAAAAAAAAUUAUUAUGAAGUGAUUUUAGAGUUAUAGAAAAAAUGCAACAGAGAGUUCCCAUUUACCCCUCAGCCCAACUUAACCUCUUAACUGGCUACAAUAAAACUAUCAAAAUCAGGAAAUUAACACUGGGACAACACUAUCAAUUCAACUACGGACUGUGUCUCAAUUUCAAUGGAUUUUCCACCAAUAACAUUUUUCUCUUCAGAAUCCUGUUCAGGAUUCCACAUUGCAUUUAAUUUUUUCUCCUUAAACUCUAAUCUGUAAAAGCCUCUGCCCUCCUCCCCCAAUUUUGUUUUGGCAAGCUGGCUAUUUUGAAGAGCAGAUAUUUUGCAGACUGUGCCUCAAUUUUGAUUUGUCGGAUCAAACCCAUGAUUUUGCCAAGAAUAUAACUGAGAUGUUGUGCACCGGACAGUGGGGUUCAUGGUGUUCCUAGGUCUUUUGUUGGUGACGUUAGCGGGACCUGGUGAAGGCGGUGCCUCUUGGGAUUGUCUUCUACUGUAAAGUCAUUUUUCAGAGAACAUAGUAAUAUUGUGGUUAAUAAAUCGAUUGGGAGUGAUACUCUCAAAGAAUGCAAAUCUUGUUCUUUCUCAGACUUUUGCCCUCUGUACCUUUAACAUUCAUCAGCAGAUCCAGAGCAGCAAUCAUUACUAUAGUAUUUAACUAACGGUGAAUCUCUAUUUCCCUCUUUUCCUUUAUAUUUUUCAAUUGGAAUUCUACUGUAAGGAAGAACUGUCUUGUUCUGUUUCCCUUAUUUGUUUAUUAAUUGAUUAUUUAUAUCAGUAUGGAUUCAUGAAUUUUGAUCUUUCUAUGGGUUACAAUCUUAUACUAUUGUUAUUUUUAAAUUAAAAAAUUUUAACUCACGUUGUUACAGUUUGAUCAUUAGGAACUCCUUGGGAAGGUUUCUGAACCAGGAAAAAAGCUUCCUUUGGGCUGGGGGUACAGCUCAGUGGUAGAGCACUUGCCUAGCAUGAACAAGGCCCUGGUUCAGUUCCUAGCACUGCAAAAUAAAUGAUCUUGUUUUGCAUUGAAGCCUUACCAUUUGCUGGUUGUGUGGCAUUAAGCAACACACUAAACAUUUCUAUGAUAAUCAUCUGCAGGUUGUUUGUAAUAACAGGUAUGUGAAGGGUGAGGAUCAACUUAGGCAAUGAGCAUAGUGUUUGCAACAGAAUCUUCUCUUAACUGUCUUGAUCCAGCCAAUCCAAUAAGCAUCCAUGUGUGAAACAUGUUUUCUCUAAUGAAAGAGUUCUCAGAACAAAGCAUGCAUCUUGAGGACAAAGGUAAAAUCUGUGACUUCCUGAAGCAUUCUGAGGUAAAACUUGCAGUAUGUGCACUUAGAAGACUCUAUCUUUCUGCUAAGUGCUGGGAAGCAGGCUGUCUGAAAUAACCGAGUUAGGGCGUCCCCAACCCCAACACUUAUACUAAGUUCUUGAAAGUGGAAUUCUCCUUUUA
rnacentral:lncRNA from 1 species